rnacentral:rRNA from 1 species
AUUGAACGCUGGCGGCAGGCUUAACACAUGCAAGUCGAGCGGAAACGAUGGUAGCUUGCUACCAGGCGUCGAGCGGCGGACGGGUGAGUAAUACUUAGGAAUCUACCUAGUAGUGGGGGAUAGCACGGGGAAACUCGUAUUAAUACCGCAUACGACCUACGGGAGAAAGGGGGCAGUUUACUGCUCUCGCUAUUAGAUGAGCCUAAGUCGGAUUAGCUAGAUGGUGGGGUAAAGGCCUACCAUGGCGACGAUCUGUAGCUGGUCUGAGAGGAUGAUCAGCCACACCGGGACUGAGACACGGCCCGGACUCCUACGGGAGGCAGCAGUGGGGAAUAUUGGACAAUGGGGGAAACCCUGAUCCAGCCAUGCCGCGUGUGUGAAGAAGGCCUUUUGGUUGUAAAGCACUUUAAGCAGUGAAGAAGACUCCGUGGUUAAUACCCACGGACGAUGACAUUAGCUGCAGAAUAAGCACCGGCUAACUCUGUGCCAGCAGCCGCGGUAAUACAGAGGGUGCAAGCGUUAAUCGGAAUUACUGGGCGUAAAGCGAGCGUAGGUGGCUUGAUAAGUCAGAUGUGAAAUCCCCGGGCUUAACCUGGGAACUGCAUCUGAAACUGUUAGGCUAGAGUAGGUGAGAGGGAAGUAGAAUUUCAGGUGUAGCGGUGAAAUGCGUAGAGAUCUGAAGGAAUACCGAUGGCGAAGGCAGCUUCCUGGCAUCAUACUGACACUGAGGCUCGAAAGCGUGGGUAGCAAACAG